rnacentral:tmRNA from 1 species
GGGGUAGCACCGGUUUCGAUUGCAGGUGCGCGGAAAGGUAAGCACGUCGAGGAACGAGUGGCCUCGUUAAAACAUUCGGACUAAAUUUAAAUGCAGACAAUGCAAAUUACAAUGCGAACGCUCAGUUCGCAUAUGCUGCUUAAUUAAAUAAGCGCUCGUCCGCGCCUUAAUCCUGCCGGAAGGUUGCGGGCGUCAAUUCAGGCAGGGAACGGGCGGUUUGAUGUGAAGUCGGCAAACCGACGGAAUUAAGAUUUCUGCCUAUAAAUUUUUUCGGUCGCAGAGAAAUUUAUAGUAAGAUAAAUGCGGCAUAAACGUGUAGAAAGCCUUUUGGCAAUCUUGUAAGACGCGAGUUCAACUCUCGCCUACUCCACCA